GCCCGGAUAGCUCAGUCGGUAGAGCAUCAGACUUUUAGGGAUAACUAAGUUAUCUGAGGGCCCAGGGUUCGAGUCCCUGUUCGGGCG
rnacentral:tRNA from 1 species